rnacentral:rRNA from 1 species
AGUAAUACAUCGGAACGUGUCUUCUAGUGGGGGAUAACUGCCCGAAAGGGCAGCUAAUACCGCAUGAGACCUGAGGGUGAAAGCGGGGGAUCGCAAGACCUCGCGCUGGAAGAGCGGCCGAUGUCCGAUUAGCUAGUUGGUGAGGUAAAGGCUCACUAAGGCGACGAUCGGUAGCUGGUCUGAGAGGACGACCAGCCACACUGGGACUGAGACACGGCCCAG